AGUCGAGCGACUGAUUAGAAGCUUGCUUCUAUGACGUUAGCGGCGGACGGGUGAGUAACACGUGGGCAACCUGCCUGUAAGACUGGGAUAACUUCGGGAAACCGAAGCUAAUACCGGAUAGGAUCUUCUCCUUCAUGGGAGAUGAUUGAAAGAUGGUUUCGGCUAUCACUUACAGAUGGGCCCGCGGUGCAUUAGCUAGUUGGUGAGGUAACGGCUCACCAAGGCAACGAUGCAUAGCCGACCUGAGAGGGUGAUCGGCCACACUGGGACUGAGACACGGCCCAGACUCCUACGGGAGGCAGCAGUAGGGAAUCUUCCGCAAUGGACGAAAGUCUGACGGAGCAACGCCGCGUGAGUGAUGAAGGCUUUCGGGUCGUAAAACUCUGUUGUUAGGGAAGAACAAGUACGAGAGUAACUGCUCGUACCUUGACGGUACCUAACCAGAAAGCCACGGCUAACUACGUGCCAGCAGCCGCGGUAAUACGUAGGUGGCAAGCGUUAUCCGGAAUUAUUGGGCGUAAAGCGCGCGCAGGCGGUUUCUUAAGUCUGAUGUGAAAGCCCACGGCUCAACCGUGGAGGGUCAUUGGAAACUGGGGAACUUGAGUGCAGAAGAGAAAAGCGGAAUUCCACGUGUAGCGGUGAAAUGCGUAGAGAUGUGGAGGAACACCAGUGGCGAA
rnacentral:rRNA from 1 species